UAAUGCCUGGGGUAUUCGUUAACCUCUUAUAUGUUCAACCGACUCAUUUACUUGGGGAGUUAGAUGUUACGCAGCUGCCAAGCCUCCUAAGAGUGGAAGGCAAAAACAUAACUAGAAAACGCCCACCUGCUGAGAAGCGGGUAUGAACAUACGAGAGCACGGUACCGUGGGCCGACA
rnacentral:other from 1 species